AGAAUUAAAGGACGGAACGGGCAUCCGUCACCCUAGUUGGAGAUGUGGGAGUGUCGCCCCACUUAAUUCU
rnacentral:ncRNA from 12 species